CUUCACUAGUCAGGUAGCAAGG
rnacentral:misc_RNA from 1 species